ensembl:lncRNA
CCCUAAUCAGCCGCCUGGGCCACCUGAAGCUGGUUAGCCUUAUUACACCAGACAGACCAAAGACACAGUGGAAGCAUGCUGGUGAAAGGAAUAACUGCGAUACAUCAAGUCAUCUUUAAGCCUUCCUCAUGAGAGUAUUCUGAAGAAAAACUGUCGGCAAAAAUAAUGGGAGCCGUUUCCCGUCUGGUAUAAAUGGAGGUGAGUCUGUGGAUGCCGGGGACACAAGACCGGAGGGGCUUGCUCUUUUUCCCUUUGGAUUACAUCCUGCAUGCAGGCCAGUGUGUGUGUGUGUGUGUGUGUGUGUGUGUGUGUGUGUGUGUGUGCUCCCAGCAAUGCAAAUGACUGGUGAGCAGAAACGGCCGACCACCGCAAAGAAGUCCCGGCGGGCCUGCACUGCCAGAUAAGGCACAUCAGGCUCGGUCAACAACGGCACGACACAAUACGAAGGGUAAAACCCAACUGUUGGGUCCGGAUUCUACCACAGACUUGACCUGAUCAGAUCCCCCCCCUCCUUGCCCUCGUACAGCUUAUCUGUGAGAGGCGAGCUGAUGGCUCAAAUGAGAAAUGGUUAUACAUGUGGGGGCCUUGCAUUACGCACACACAGGGACUGAAGGCCUGUUAAGUGCUUCUCGCGCUCGCUCUUGCACUCUCUCGCUUUCUCUCUCUCUCUCUCUCGCCCUCUCGCCGUUUCUCUCUCGCCCUCUCCUCGGGCAAUGGUAGAUAGUCCCGUGGGCCCGUACAGGUGGCCAUCUCUGCUCCAUGUGUAUCUUUGGUCCGUUCUCGAUAGAAGCCUUUGUCUCCACAACCAUCCUCCACAUCGCUUCAAAAAAAAAAACACCCGACGGUCAGUCAAUGGCUUCCUAAUCACCGCUCCACAGCUGGCCCUGGUCUUCGGUGGGGUGGCUGAGGGGGAGCCGGGGCAGAAUGGGCAGUGCUUAUCCCUCAGGGAGACGGAGAGGGUCUGCCUCAUACCUCUCUGUGCCGUUCGCAUGCCUGCACACACGGGGCGACCUGAACACUGCUGCCUUCUCCCACUCGAACCUGGCGCCGC